UUUUUUUUUUUUUUUUUGCAAUUUUUCUUCUCCCCAAGCUGCGGGAGGGGGAAGGUGGUGGGGAAAGGCAGAGGGAAAGAGGGGAGGGGGGAGGGAGAAAGAAAAAAAAAGAAAAAAGAGAUUUUGGAAACCAACAUAUCGGUCAAAGGGGGAGGGGAGGGAGAGAAAAAAAAAAAGAGGAAGGCCGGCAAAAGUUGGCCGGAAUAGUUACCGGCGCCGGAAGCGGUGGUGGACGUGGUGGCCGGUUGGGUAGGGGAGGAAAAAGAAGAAGAAAAGUUGAAGGGAAAGUUUUUUGUAUAUUAUUUUGAAGUGUGUAGGUAAAAAAUUUUGAUAAGUUUUUUGGGGUUCCUGUAGCAAAAGUUGUUAAAAAACUAGUAGCUAAAAAACUUGGUCAAAAACUUCACUUCCAAACAAGCCCAUAAAGUUAUUUAGUAAUACACCAAACUUCAAGUGUAAAGUUUUAUCUAUAUUUAGUGUAAUUAUCUAGCUUAUUUAUGAAUUUUAAGUGUAAAAAAUUAUUAAAAAUAAUAUUUGUCUUUAAAAUGAAUUACGUAAUAUGUUAUUUUUGAAAUCCAUUUUAUAACUUAUAGAGUUUGGAGGGUAAUAAAUUUUUAUUAAAAGAUUCCAAUAUAUUUGUUUUAGAGAAAAAAAAAUAGAAUUGAAAAAACAUUUAUAUAUUAUAAUAAAGCUAUUUUGUUAGCAUAUUUCGAAGUAGCCAGGUGGUAAGUAUGUUGUAGUGUUGGAUAGAGGUCUAAGGUUUGUAUUCCAACAAAAGUAAUAAAAAUUUUCGACAAGACCCGGUUCGUUGACAAAACCGGCCGGGUUUCCGGUUUAACCCUGGUUGGACCAUCGGGUCGUUGACUAGUCAACGGGCUCCUUGCUCAACCAAUCCAAUUUAAAACCAGGUCUGGUCCAAUGGCCGGUUCACCGGUUCGAUCGUCGGGCCGGGCCGAGUUUAAUAACUAUGUUUGGAUAGAGUAUUAUUUGAAAUAUUAUUUGAAAUGAUUACUGUAAUACUUUUUGUGAUGUGAUGUAUGUGAGAUAAAAAGGUAUUUGAGAAUAUAUAAAGGUGGGUUAGAAAAUGUAUUUAUGAUAUAAACGAAAUAUUAUUUGAGAUAUUUAUGCUAUCCAAACACUCCUGAUCAUUUGAAUAAGAUACAAUCCAUGGUAAAUAGUAGUAGUAUAAUUUGUGAUAUAAAUAAAUAUUAUAUUCAAUUACUGUUCAUGUAGGCUUAACUUUUAUUAUAUCAAAAUGGUGUAGUGUUGUUUGGAUUUUAUCUUUUAAUUCGUUUAUUAUUAAUAUAAACAGUUCAGAACGAUUGCCGUUGAUAAGUGUUUGCGCUUUUAUCUAAAUUAAAUUCAAUACUUAUAUAUCUCCAUGAUAAGCUUUAAAAUUCUAGAUAAAUUACUUUAUAAAAAAAUAUCAUUCAUUUUCAAGAAAAAUUCCAAAAAGCAAAUACCCUAACACCAAGUGAUCUAUUGUAUUUGUUAAAUUAUAGAUCUGUAAUUUCUAAUGCAUGUAUAACCUAUCAUUACAACAAUAAUUUGUCAAUCAAAUUGUGCAAGAUGGUUUCCCCAAUUUGCUUUUAAAAAAAAAAAAAGCAGAUGAAGUUGGGGCACAACCGUCACAAUAGCAACGGUUUUGAACUAUUAACGGUCUUGAUUGGCCAAAAAAGUAUCGUACAGCUUAAAUUUGUACAUCAACUUUAACGAUAAUAUCCAUGAAACCCCAAAAAGAUUGUAGCAUUAAGUUAACAACCUCCCGUCCCCUUUCAUGGAGUCAGUCAGAGCCAGUCAUGGAUCGCCAUCACCGCCAUUGAAAGGUAAAUUCUUGGUCAAACUGAAAACCCCCUUUAAAUCCUGCUGUAAUUAUACUUCUUCAAGUUUCAUCCUGUCUUCCCACUGUCCAGUUUGAUUCCUUUCACAAAUCAAAACUCCUCCCUUGGUCCAGUUUGCCCCCAUCAAACACUCCCAAAAUAACCAAAUAAAAAAGCCAAAAAAAAAACCCAAAAAAUCCCAUUCAAAUCCCACCAAAUCCCCCUCACCUCCCUACUUAUAUAAACCCCAUGUGGUAUUAGUUCUUCUGCCACCAAAGAUCUUUUCUUUCUUUUUCAUUUUUUGGUUCAUUUUCUUUUUCCUGCCCAAAAUGAUAACCAGUAAUUCUACUGGUAACCAUGUCCAUCAGCAUCAUCAGCAGAAAUCUCAUUCUCAUUCUCACCAUAGAAAUCUACCCAAGAGAAUAAUCUUGGUCCGGCAUGGCGAAAGCGAAGGGAACAAAGAUGACUCGGCAUACGUUGCCACCCCGGAUUACAGAAUCCCAUUAACUUCUACUGGCAUUUCCCAAGCUCGGCAAGCCGGAUUAGGCAUCAGGCAGGUGGUUUCCGAUCAGGGUUCUUCUCAGAAUUGGAGAAUUUACUUCUAUGUCUCUCCUUAUGAGCGCACGCGCUCCACGCUCCGGGAGAUCGGCCGGGCAUUUUCUAGGCGUCGAGUGAUCGGUGUCCGGGAAGAGUGCAGGAUUAGGGAACAAGAUUUUGGGAAUUUUCAGGUGGCGGAGAGGAUGAAGAUUAUUAAAGAGACCAGAGAGAAGUUUGGGAGGUUCUUUUAUCGGUUUCCUGAAGGCGAAUCGGCGGCCGAUGUCUAUGACAGGGUUUCCAGUAAGUGGAAUUUAAACAAAAAAAAAAAGAAUUAGUCUUUGUUUUUUAUUUUUUGUAACAGGUUGUUUUUAUUUUUAUUUGGAAGUGUUUAAACUAUUGAUUUUUAGAAUUUCUUGAAUUGUUUGGAUUGCUGUUGUUUUGGAUGUUUGCAGAAAUAUAAACUUUUUUGGCCUUUUGCUUUGCUUGGAUUCUACUAUUUACAGGAUAUAGGAUAUAGUACUAAGAUUAUUGGUUGUCUGACCAGGUUAGCUAGAGUAGUUGUUUUGGAAUUAAAAAGAGCUUGAAUCAUUAAGUUGUACACAUAAAAUAAAAUAAUGUGUGGGAUGAUAAUGCAUGCGAGUGUGUGCUGGUUGGGAAAAUCAAUAUUUUAUUUGGUUGAGUAUGAUUUAGAAUUGUAGCAAUAUAACAUUGGGACACUGGUAUAGCGUUUGAAAAAGACACUAGAAUUUUCAGCAGCAACCGAGCAUACACUUUUAAACUUGCUACUAGAUGUGUCAAAGUUUCAAAUUUAGGUUAUUGAGGUAUUGGAUAUAAUUUCUUGACCAAAAGGUUUAGGAAAUUAGACAAUGGAAUGCAUUCACAGACAUAUAUUUGGUGGUGCAGAUUAAGUAACUGGAAUGCACUUGCAGACAUAUAUGUAGUGGUCUGGACUAAGUAAAUGUGGGAGAUAAUAAGCUUUGUUUAGAUUCAUUUGGUUGAAUUCGGUUGAUCAUUUCAUAAACACCUAUUGGGGUACCUAAAAAGACAAGGCUUGGAUGAUUGUUGCCUGAACUGUGGUUGAGCGAUGAAUCGGCGCCACACUUUACGAAGUGAAACCCCCAACUAGAAAUGUUGUAAAUUUGAACUAGUAGUAGCCCAUCAAUUAAGUCCUCUAGGUAAUAGAUGCUAAUUGUUUAGACUUCCUUCUGUUUCUCAGCCCUUUACAAGGAUCUCAGCAUCACUUUAUUAAAUUAGCUGUUUAUUGACUAGAUGUAAGCACUCUGAUUGACAUAAUUGGAAACUUAAUUUAAAAGAAUGGGCAAUAAAGCACUUCAUCGUGAAUCUUAGCAUAGCUGAUGAACUCAGGAAAUUGUGAUGACAAGUUAGAUGCUGAUCAGUAGCUGUAAUACGAAACAAGUAUCAAAGUGUAGCAUAUGAAUGCAUGAUCAGUACUUGCAGCCACUACUGUCACAUUUUGGAGUUUGGUUCUAAGUCCUGUAUGUGAAAAGCUCUUUGUAUCUGCAGCCUUGUCGAACCCAUAUGCAUUUUCUUUAGAACACAAACUUACAUUCAAUUCUGCACUUUUUUUAUGUGAGGAUAAUUUCUACUAACCUGUCUAGAUUGCAAAAGUAUCUUUGCUGACACCUUAACUGGUAAUUGUCUCUCUUUUCUUGAUCAUUCUUAAGCUUCACCUGCUAAUCUGAUUCUUGUUUAGCUUUUAUGAGUAUAUUCUCUGUGUCAACUCUAAUGUAUGGCUGUUGGUCAGUGGAGAUGUGUGAUUUAUAACGUUAUAUAUCCCAUUGGCUCUCCUGGUCCUUUCUGUUCUGUUAUUUCUUAUUCAGAUGUGUGCCUCAAUUAUUUAUGGAUAUAAUUACAUUCAUUUGGUUCUAAAAAUAACAAAAGUGACUGGAUCAAAAGAGAUAAGAUUGUCAAUUUGUCCAUUGUGGUUUGCAAUACAUAUUAGACAGUCAAAAAAAAAUUUUUUUUUUUUUUUUGCUAGCUUCAUUUUGGAUACAAACUUGUUGCAUCUCAAAGUCAAGUUUAUCCUAAUUCUUUUAUUAAGUCAAAUCUAUCAUAUCUUUAUAUCAGUUCUCUGCAUUGGAUGGUUGUCCAUUCAUAAUCACAUUUUUCUGAGUUUAUUCCUCAUUACAUGAUUAUUCUUUAUAACUCAAAUUAAAAGAAAAGCUAUCUAUUUUUUUUGGGUGUUUUCUUUGUGACUUUUUCUUAGGAAUGAUCAGAAGUUCAUAUUAGCCUUUCUCUUUAGCAGUUUUGGCAGUUAAACUUGGGUAAUUUUUUUUUUCAAAUUUCAUAUGUCCAAGUAUCUCCUACUUCUGUGGCAAGCUUGAACUGUUGUGUUCUCAUGUAAUUUGUAGGAUUGCAUUUGCUUCUUCUGUGGACAUAAAACCAAUGCAACCAAAAUCUGAUUUUCCCUGUAUAUUAAAUGAGUAAAGGCUGAAAGGGACUAUGAGUUGAGAUUGUAUCUCGAGAGUAAUUUAUGACAUUUGAGCCAACAUUGUGCUCUUGUUACUCCUACACAUAACUUGUAUUAUCUAGAGAUCUUUGCAUUUCUUUUCUCACUCUGAUUUGCAACCAUUAUGUGUAGAAUUGCUUCAGGCAGCCUAAGGACAUCUGUGUUUGGGUUGGGCAUUAUUUGGAAAAGAACAUUUGCUUGAAUCACCAACACAUUUUCUAAUCAUCUUUUUACCUUCCCAACUAUCAUUUUAUCUCACAUUUAUCACAUCAUAAAAAGUGCUACAGUAAUUAUUUCAUAAAACCCAACUUGGUGGCAAGCUUACAUAAUCACCUUUCCUGGCGUGAGCUCGUCAUCAUAAGCUGAUGGAUGAAGAGCUGAAUGUAUUGUUUUACUUGGUGACCGCUUAGAGGGCAUAAUUUUACUUGCCUAACAAAAAAUUGUAGUUUUAAAAUUUGGAUAUUUACUGAAUCUAGAUAAAGAUGAAGUCUUUGUGAAAAAUUGUUUGUUAAUACUAGUUGCUAACAAAUAUUGAGUGCAUAUUUUUACUAAUAAGUGACUGAUUAACUUACAGGUUUCCUUGAAUCUUUAUGGAGGGAUAUAGACAUGAACAGACUUCAACAAAACGCAGCUGAUGACCUAAAUCUCGUAAUUGUAUCUCAUGGACUAGCUAUUCGCGUCUUUCUCAUGAAGUGGUUCAAGUGGACUGUAGAACAAUUUGAGUAUCUAAACAAUCUUGGCAACUGCGAGUUUCGAGUUAUGCAAUUAGGCAUUGGUGGAGAAUAUAGCUUGGCAGUCAAUCAUAGUGAUGAAGAGAUGCAAGCAUGGGGGUUAUCCUCAGAUAUGAUAGCAGACCAGAUGUGGCGAGCUCAUGCCAAGAAGGGGGAUUGGAAUGAAAAGUGUCCUUGGUACCUUGAUGCUUUCUUUGAUAGCCUAGCUGAGACAGAUGAAAGUUCUGAAGAAGAUGAUGAAAGCAAAGAGUUCUUGGACUGCGUGUGAAAGGGGUGUAUAUUUUCCAGUUCUCCUUUGGUUCAGUUGUAUAGGCUAUUUGUCACUUCUUUACUGUACUUCUAGGUGUCACACAACAAUUCCCCCUGUAUCUGUUUCGCCCCACAUUCUCUUGUUAGGAGCUAAAUAUUUUCAUGUCAUAAUGUGAAAACAUCUCUUAGUUUAACAUUGUGGAAAUGACCUAUUAUACAUUACAUUGAUGCCUCCAUGGACAUGAAUCACAAUAAACAAGUUGUUCGGUUUAAACCCUUGAUUUAGCAAAAAGGUUGUGUGUAUAAAGGUCCAACCAAGUAGGCCUAUGUACAAAGUUGGAAGUUGGAACAAUGGUAGCAAAUUCCUUACAUUGCAUGUUAUGUGAAAAAUGGUUCAGAUAGGGCUUUUUGUUUGCUCAGUCAUUCAGAUUGAGUUGAAAGCAAUUUAUGGGAUUUAACAUUUACUAUAGGAUAGCCCCAUUGAAAUCAUGCAUUUUUUACUCUUUGAUCAUCCAAGCCCCAAAAAGAUAGGGCUCCAAUAUCUUCCAUUUUUGUUUGGAUUAAACUAUACUAAUUCAGAACUUGGGCAACUAGCUAGCUGUUUUGCCUAGUUUUGAUCAACUGCAGCACAUUGUUUGUAAAGCCCUCGGUCAAAUGCUGCAUCAAAAAGAGAGUAUUGGAAUAGUUUUCUGCAACCGAGUCUAAGUAGCUGCACAAAUACUAGUUUUAUAGCCAUCCAUGUGCAAGCAAUUAAUUAUUAAUUGGUCAACAUAUGUUCUUCUCUUCUUCCAAUUUUCUAUACUCAUUUCCAUCAGAAUAGUUUUGUGCAAUCCAGUCUUCAUAGCUCCACAAAUACUAGAUUUAUUUUAUAGCCAUACAUGAGCAAGCAAUUGAUUAUUAUUGGUCAACAAAGUUCUUCUCUUCUUUCAAUUUCUAUAUUCAUUUCCAUUUCGUCUAGGCAUUUGGAAAUGAAUAUAGGGACUCGAAGUGAACAGGAACCUUUGAUUGAAUCGAAUCUACAUGGUUCAGAUUGUGCCACGUCAUUUCAUCAAAUGUCGUAGCACAACCUGAAGUGUUAAAGUUGUUUUGAAGACCAUGUCUAUCCAAGUUUUGGCCAAUAUGUAACUACACAACUAGUUUCAUAGCCAUCCAUGUGCAAGCUAAUUAAUACUAGUUUAUUGGUCAAAAUGGGUUCUUUCUUUUCUUCGAAUUUUUGUAUUCAUUUCCAUCUCUAUCUUGCUUUAGCUGAUUGAAUUUGAAUAUAUAACCAUCGAAAAAUCAACUAGAAUUCAUAUACUUGAGAAGGAUAAAGGAAAAGUAUUCAAAAGUGAUAAAUCCAUGUGUUGAUAUUAAAGGAAAAGGUUAAAAAAAAAAACGAAAUGCCAAAAAAAAAGAAUAAGUGAAAAUAUUAUUUGGCAACAUUAUCUUAAGUGAUCUUAUUUUGGGUAAAAUGUUAGCAAAAAGAAAAAAAAAAAGAAGUCAAAUUUAAUGUUGCUUGCUUUGGAUUUUACGUCUUUCUCUAUCUACGAUCAUAACUCAAAACUCAUAUGGUUUCCUGUACAAAAAAGGAAAAAAUGAUAAUAAAACUUUUUCUUCUUACGCGGUAGUCGUCUUUAAGCAUUGAGCAAAUUAAGUCAAUAGUCUUUUUGUGUUAUCCUUUUAAAACUUUGUUUGGGUUGUGAUCUUUUGGUGAAAUUUUUUUUUAAUGUUUUUCAUGAAUAUUCUUUCUACACAAUUUCUAAUAAUCUUUUUUACCUUACGUAUAUCAGAUUCUAAAUAAGUGUUAUAGUAACUUUUCUCAAAAAACUUCCAAAAAAAUGCAACCGAAAUAGGAUAUUUUACCAUUUCAACCUUCCUUUUGUUUUCUAUCCUUCCCCUUUUAGAGGAAUUCACAUAGUAGAAAUUACUUUUACAAAUUUAACCUAAAACAGCACAAGAUUAGAUUUCUCUCUGAUUCAAACAUCAAAAAUUAUGUUCUUUUAUCUUAAGCCCUUUUUUUAAUCCAAUGAUCUAAUCCUUUGAUAAUUGAAAGAAGUCUGCCUAACCAAAAUCGGCCUUGUUUGUAUUGCCAUUUUUCUCCACAAAAUCUUUUCAAUUUUUAUGAACAUAUUUUUCAAUAAAAACUCUAAAAAAUAACCAUCCAAAUGGAUUCUAAAACUAGUGUCGAACCGUCGAUGGGAUUAGACCAACUGGUAACGUUUAUUUAUAAAUACACCGACCAAACUUUUCCCGACCACAGAGGAAGUCGUCCAAAACUAUCAAACUUGACUAGAAUUCAGAAGCCACAAAUGCUGCAUCCAAUCAUAAAAAAAUGAUAACCCCACGUUCCUAUCACCAUCCUAUUCCCCUUUCCUCCUCCCAUUCAAAAGCCAACGCGGCCAAAACAAUCUAUAAAGGUCAGCUCAUGGCCCUCCUCAACCAUGUCAAACCCUCGCAGUUGAUGAACUUCCAUAAAAACAUUAACUUUCAUUAAUCUGCAAUAGCAAGAAAUGGCAAACAACGGCAGUGCAGAAAUGCAGGACUAUAACAAGUGCCUCCCAAAGCGCAUAAUCCUGGUGCGCCAUGGGGAGAGCACGGCCAACACAGAUGAGAAGAUCUAUGGCAUUACAGCAGAUCACAAAAUCCCAUUAUCCACAAAUGGGAUUGAGCAAGCCAGGCAAGCUGGUAGAAGCAUAUUGGAUGUGGUUUCUGAGCAGGGAAAUUCACAGAAUUGGAAGGCCUACUUUUAUGUGUCUCCUUACGAACGUACCAGAUCAACUCUCAGGGAGAUUGGCCGGGCAUUUCCAAGAAACAGAGUCAGGGGAGUCAGAGAGGAGUGCAGGAUCAGAGAGCAAGAUUUUGGGAACUUCCAAGAUUAUGAGAAAAUGAAGGAGCUCAAGCAGAUCAGGAAUAGAUAUGGAAGGUUCUUCUAUCGGUUUCCUGAAGGAGAAUCAGGGGCUGAUGUUUAUGAUCGCGUUUCCAGUAAGUACCAUUAAGCGCUCUUAGAUAAAUUUUAUCCUUUUCAUUAUGCCGAGUAAAUGAGGAGUUGAUUUAGUACAACUUUUGCAGCCUUUCUUGAAUCUUUAUGGAGGGACAUAUACAUGAGGAGACUAACUCAAGAUCCUGCUGAUGAGCUGAAUCUAGUGAUUGUAUCCCAUGGAUUAGCUGUUCGCAUUUUUCUGAUGAAGUGGUUCAAGUGGACAGUGGAGCAAUUCGAGUCUCUCAAGAGUCCCAAAAAUUGCGAGUUUCGAGUUAUGGAAUUAGGGGCAAGUGGAGAGUACAGCUUAGCGAUCCAACAUGAUGAUGAAACACUCAAAAGAUGGGGGUUCUCUCCUGAAAUGAUAGAGGACCAAAAAUUGAGGGCCAAUUACAGGGGUACUUGGAAUGACAGGAGUCCGUGGUACCUCAAUACUUUCUUUGAGUUAGCUGGUUCUGAUCAUGAAACUGCUGAGAAAGAUGGUCAUGAAGAUGGUCAGAACAAGUGAUUGUUUGCAUUUUUUGUGAUUUUCUCAAUUGAGAUUUUAUUGUAAGCUCUUCUGACUCUGAUCAAAUGUAACCAAAACAACUUUCUUGAAUGAAAAUUUUUAAUUAACAGCUGACUCACAAAAUUUUCUCGUUUCCAUCUGUCCAGAGCUUGCCAAAAUCAUAAGUAGUCGGGCACUCAAUGAUAGAAAGGGCUAUUUCUUUUAUUCGAAAGGAUUUAUCGAAAUAAAAAUAACGAGUCACCAUUGAUAUCGACACAUCUGAGAUCCCCAACUGUUCGGGAGUUCCUCUAUUCAACCUUUUUCCUUCUUCUGCUGCAACGUUUGUCUACUAUACCAAGUCUGUAUUUCUAUGUUGUCAAUUUUAGGGGGUAAGAGCGAUGCUUGUAUGAAUUUAGACGCAAAUAAUCUUGCAAGCAAAAGUACUAUUUCUAGUUUUCCUUUGAGUGUACUGUUAUCCUAAGCUUGUUUACUUUCAGGGUAAGGCAUCAUGAAAGUGCCCUUGUAUCUUGAUGCUUUCGCCUUUCGUUGAUAUGCUUGCUGGCAGGGAGGAAAAUUCUGAAAAAGAUGAUGAAAAGCAAAGAGUUCUUGGAUUGCUUGUGAAAGGGAUGUAGAUUCUUUCUUAUUCAUCUUAUAUUCAUUUUUAGGGAGGCCAAACCUGACCUCAAAAAGAGCAAGAGCUAGAUUUCUUUCCUAUUCAUCUUAUAUUCUAGGAGCAAUUCAAAGGAAUCAGUGGUUUAAAAUGAACAAUUUUCCUUCAUAAUUGCAUGAUUCCAUUCUAAACUAAAUUCUAUUGGAGGAAGUUUACUCUUCGUAUGGAUUGAGGGAUUUGACAAAAAAUUCAAAAUCCUCUUAAAUCACUCUAAUUGUUUAGAUUAUUUAAAAAGGUAUUUGAAUUUCUAAAUCAAAAAUUAUUAUAGUGUUAAAAAUGUACUUUGAUAAUUGGCGAAUUAUAAAUUUAAAUGUUUUUUAAAUCAUCUAAACAAUUAUAACGAUUUGAGUGUAUUUCAAAUCUUUCGUCAAAUUCUUCAAUCCAAAUGAAGCGUAAUAGAAUUUUAUUCCUAAAUAAAACAUCAAAGUCAGAUAUUACGGAAAACCUCAAAACUUAUUUAGGCAUUAGUAUCUCAAGAUAUCUGUGACGACCCCACCUCCCCUUAGGGCAUACCCCAGGGUUUAGAGGACUGCAUGUCUGGCUCUCGCCAGGACUCACUCACUCACUUCAAAUAAAAUAGGUUACAACUUCAAGAAUAAAGGAAAUAACAGUUACCAAGUUUGGCAAGUACAAUUACAUUCAUUUCUAUUCAAAACAUUCGUACAAUCCCAAUUAUAACAAAAGAUUUAAAUUCUUAAUACAUUCAACCCUAAUUAAGCGACUAAUGCGAGUACAAUCGCAAAAUUUCCAAAAACUAAACUACGCUAGCAUGUACCAGUCUCACGCCUUCGCUCGUACCCCCUGUAAGGAAAACAAAUUUAACGGAAUAGGGUGAGUUAAAGUUCAGUGAGAUUCCAAAUAGCAAGUUGAGCAUUAUUUAAAAGUGCACGUAUCAAAGUAGCGAGCAUAACAAGUCCAUAAAAAUGAGCAAUAACACUUUAAAUAGCAAAUCUCAAAAUGAGCGAAUAUAAAGUUUUUCAAAAGAAACAAUAACCCGAUAAGUAAUAAUCAUGUCAAAAUAUAAGGAUACGGAUGGCUCUCAAGAGCCAAGUUCCCAUUGCUUCACCAGAGCUUGAUCAAGUAGUAGUUAACACUCCGUCAACUUUCAAGUAAAGUAACUAGUCCAGUAGUGCUUCAUUUCACACUAAUCCGUCCACCAUUCAACCCUCUUAUCGGGCCCGAACAUCAACUAAACACUGGUGGUAAUACUCGAGUAUACCGAUUAGUCAAGGAGAUAACACUCCACUCGACAACACUAGAUACCCAUGGUUCGUUAUCUAAUCGACCAAGCCCUUGCCGGCUCGACUCGAUUAACUAGCCAGUGAGGUUUGGGUUCCCAAGAAUUCGAUGAGAUAACAUCUCCAAUCGGCUGAAUCAAUAUAAAAGUAUGGAGACGAGAAUGAGAGGCACCUCCUACUCGGAUUGAGUGUGGUACAUGCUGUCGCUUAGUACUUACAAGUCAAGCACAAGUAUAUCAAGUCAAUUGCAACAAUAAACAAGUACAUAUCACAUUAGGGCAAGUGCGAUAAAGUACACCCUUGCCCGAACAAACCAAUCAAAUAUCAUUCGAUCACAUUGGUCAAGUAUUAAAAACAAGUGUCAAGUUCAAUCAGGUAUUUGGAAGAACUCACCAAAAGUUUAGUGCUUGUUAAAAUCACGUUCAGGUGUAACUCCUUGGUCGGAGUCUAAAUCUGUGAUACAAUAUCAUUUAAAAGCUUGAAAACUAGGGUUCGAAACAUAGGAGUUUCGCUUCAAGAAGAUCAAGUAAAUGAAACUCAUUUAGAUAGGAUUCAUGUUACGUAUCCAACUCUAGAAAAUUCAUGCUCGCUCUUUUGGUGUUGCUUAAAAAGCGAUUAAAACUUUGGAAUUCACAUUUGAGUUUAAAAGACGAGAAAAACAUAUUUCGAGUGAUCACUAAUUCCAUUUUUCCAAGGAUAUGAGUUUCGGCCAAAUUUCAGCUUAUAUACCUUUUCCCGGCACAAGACUCGAAUACCAUAGACAAUGCAAGUUCAAUUCGACCUCAAAUCUUCGCUCAAGUCGCGAGUACAUAUGCCUAAUCUUCGAGUGAAAAUUUGGGCUGCACGCCCUUUGUAUUUAGCUAUUUUUCAGCCAUAUAUGCCUUCAUUAUUUUCCUCAAUUCAGCCCAAAGUCACACAUAAGCAAUGUUAAUACAAUAGCCCUUCAACUAGGCUCAAUGUCAUCCACAACAAGGCAAUUCCAGCAAUACAACUAUAAAAAUCAAAGCUGGAACUAGUAUUAAAGAAGAAUAACUAAGUAAUAGGUUUGACAUCUUCCGGCGUUUUGGUCCCUGCUGAAGCUACGCUUAUCGGAUUGGGGUAAACUUUAUGUCGUUUCGAAACUAAGACAGAGAACUAUAUUUCUUAUGAAGACAUCGAUACCCAAUUCAUGCAUUUUCAGGGUCAAAAUGUGUAAUGUGAGGACUUGCAAAUUUCUUAUAUAUUCCUUAAAAAAAAAUUCCCUUUUAUUUGGAAAUUAUUACUUUAUAAUAGCCCUACGAUCUAAUCAUCCCACAAUAAGUGCAAAUGAAUCUAGAAAGUAAGGGUUUUUCCUUUGGUUUUUAAGUUAGCGCGAAUUAGGGUUUUUACGCCUAUCCGUAGUGUGAUUAUCCGGUACAGAAUGGGGAUCAAAUUUGGUGAUUAAGAGUGAGUUUUAGAUGAUAUUAAGUGUGUGAUUAGAAGUGGUAAUAAUAAAUUAGUGAAUUAUAAGUUAAAACCCUAGUAUACGCGAUUUAAGAAAAAAACGGCUGAACGGACGAGUAAUGCUCUCUACCGAUUGAACACCCCAUUUGACUACCACUUCCCUACCAUAAAAUAUCCUUGAUAUUAUUGCAAAAUAUCUCCCUCAUUCCCAGCUCUCUUGGCCGAAAUUGUUGACUCAAAAAUACAAGAGAAAAGAAAAAAAUUUUGGAUGGAAAUUGGUGGUGACAAGUGGCCUCAAUCCCUUGCACCUUUGACCCAAGUGAAGACUAAGUCUUAAAACCAUCUUAGAGUUUUAUUCUUCUCCAUUUUUGCAGUUUGUUGACCGAGCAUAAGAGAGAGAGUGAGCGAGAGAAAAAUAACUUCAUUUCAUCUUGAAUUGCAUCAUUUGAGUGAAACCAAGAAAAAACUAAACCGAUUAAUCACUAGUUUGGGAGUUUGGGAAGCUUAAGGAACAAAAAAUUUUAAGAAGAAGUGGAGGAUCCUUCUUGCAAGCUCUUGUCUUGAGGUAUAAUGGUUGAUCAACCUUUCUUUCUCUAUGAAUCAUGAUUAAGUUGGGUAUUAAUGUUAGAAUUGUGCUUGUGAUGCUUGUUUCAAAUGGUUUUGAUGAUUGGAGUGAUGAAUUUUGAGUUAGAAUUUUGAUUAAUUCACUUAUAUUUCUUGUGGGUUAGGUGUUAUAUGCUGUAUAUAUUUGGUAUAUCAUCUGUAAAGGAGAAAGUAGUGGUAGUUUUAAGGUAAAAAUGUGAAUUAUAACUUGAAUAUAACAAAAUUUCAAAUUUCUGGAAAUUGUAGCUUCAGUUCUGUCCGGUUCCAGUUCAUUAUGUUAGAGGCCGAAUUAGGCUUAGCAUAAAACAUGAAAGUUGUAGAGAAUGAUGUUUUAUAGUGGUCUGCAAAAUUUCAGCUCAAUCGGAGCAACGUAUCCUGUGAAAAGAUAAAAAUACCCCUGACUCUCAUAGGUUUAGUCUAAUGGACAAUUUUGAUAUUUCACAACACUAACCGUGUCUGUUCACCCUGAUGUGUCCUGAAUUAGCAUUUAGCCAAAACAUAAAAGUUGUAGUGCUAUGUCUUAUCUUUCUAACGCCCCUAGAAUCACCUCAUUUGGAUUUCGGUAGCCUAAGUUAUAGUUGUUUACGCAUAGUGCGGUUAACUAACCCGAAUGUAAGAUUCUGGUUCUGUAAAUGGCAAUUUUGACUUAGAUACACUACAAACUGGACUGAGUGGUCUUCAUCAAAGUUGUAGACCUUUGUCUUAGCUUUGAAAUGGUAUAAAUUUCAUCCCAAUCCGAUAAGCGUAAUCUCGGUUGUGUCUGUUACGCAAAACAACGUCAAAUUUGUCUUUUGUUUCUUGAUUCAACCUUCAUUUCCGCACAUGCUCUUAGCUUGAUUUUGUACUUGUAUGACUUGGAGCCUAUGGAAUGGCUAUUGAAAUGAGAUGAUUUUGUGUAUGACUUUGGGAUUGAUUGAGGAAAAGAAUGAAGCCAUAAAUGACUGAAAAAUGGGUAAAUACAAAGGGCGUGCUGCUCAAAUUUACGCUCAAGAACUAGGUAGAUCUACUUGCGACUUGAGUAAGGUUUGAGAGCGAAUACCACGUGAACCAUCUAGGGUAUUUACGUCUUCUUUUAUCGAGGUAUAUAAGUUAGAAUUCGGCCGAAACUUGUACCCUUGAAAAAAUGAAAUUUUCGACUAAUAGAAAUACGUUUUCUUUGUCACUUCGACUCAAAUGGAGAUUUUAAAGUUUUACGAGUGACCAUAAGUUUUAUACAUAUUUUACUUAUGUCCUUUGGUUUAAAUGUACUCUUUUCACUACCAAAACCAUAUUUAUACCUUGUACUAGUACGUAUUCGAAUUUUCUUUGAAUCACUUACAUCUUUGAUGGUUGAAACAUAAUGUGUUCUUUUGAUUAUAUUACGGUUCCUUGGUGAUUGAGGGUGUUAUCCGAAAGGAUACUUUGGACGUUAUUUUGCGUAAAUAUGUGAGUGUUCCUUGUUUGUUAUAUUUUCAUUGACUAUGUGGCUUGUUCUUGAUUAUAUGACUUGUUAUGAACGAAUGAUAACAUGUUAAAUGUUUUCAAUGAUUGCUUAAAAUGAAUUUUCUAGGCGAGUGUGUACUUUAUCGCACUCGACCUAAAUGAAUGUGAAAUUUUCAAUGAUUAAAUAAUUAAAUACUAGUUGCGCAUGAAUGUAAGCCGUUUAGCUGAACUGGGCUCUUGCCCUUCGUUACUGAUCGACUCGAGCCAGAAGCGGACUCGAUCGAGCGAUUUAGUGAUCCUGGGUGAACGUUUGGUAUACUCGAGUAUUACCUUGUUGUCGGGUGGAGCCUGGCCAACGUCCAGGAGGGGGUGAAUGAAAUAAAUAAAUGAAUGUCAAUGCAAAUGAGGGGUUUUACUUAUCGAAAUGCAUUUUCAAAUGAUUGGAGGAAUAAGGGAAUGAAAGGAGAAUGAACGAAUAGCUCCCUGUGAGCCCGUAUCCUUUUAAUAAAUGUUAUUAUCGCUUUAUAUUGCCAUGUUUCUUGAAUUACUUGCUAUCUAUGAUUAAUGUAUUGAACUGUUUGUUUGUUUGUGUGUUUGGAACCUCACUGAGCUUCUAGCUCAUUCCGUUAGUUUUGUUUUCCUUAACAGGGGAUGCGAGCAAGGACGAGAGCUCUGUAUAGACUAGCCUAGUCUAGUUUUUUUGAUCCUUUUGGAAUGGUUCUCGCCCUAGCAUUUGGCAAGGGUUGGAUGUAUGAAGAAUUGAAAACUUUUGUACAUUUGAUUUUGUAAUUCGUUUUGAGAUAGAAAUGUCUAAGCACAUGUUCUAAGCUUGGAAUCGUUAUUAUACUUUGCCUUGUGAUUUUGUUUCGAUUUUAUCUGAGGUGAAUGACUGAGUCCUGGCGAGAGUUGGGCAGGCGGUCCGCCGAACCCUUUGGUUCGCCUUAGGGGAAGGUGGGGCUGUCACAUGUAAUUUCAGAGAAAACAGAACACUGCCCGCGCAAUAAGGCUUUUGGCAGUCAGGGGUAAUUUUAUCAUUUCACAUGCUACAGUACUCCGAUUGAGCUGAAAUUUUACAAGCAGCUAGGUAACUCCAUUCCCUACAAGUUUCAUGUUUUAACCUAGACCUGAUUUGGCCUCUAACAUGGACGAAUUAUACAUGUCAGAAACAGGGCAGAUUCCACUAUCAAUGCUGGAAAUUUCUCUACUAAAGCUGGAAUUUUAGAACUAAAGCUGGAAAUUUCAACCAAAGCUAGAAAACCAUAUACCAAAGCUUAAAAGUUCACAUCAAAGUUAAACCAUCUCAUAUCAAAACUAUCAAAUUCAUCUCAUGGCUGGAAAAUGCAUAUCAAGGCUGGAAAUUACAUGCUACCCUAGCCAAAGCCAUAAAAUCUUUCAUAACCAUGCUUCUUUUAGCUUCAAUCAUAACUUAUCUUAAAUGAAUCUCAAGAGACAAAUAAAAGAGAUGUUUUCUAGAAACUUACGUCAAACCCCCAGCAAACAAGAGUUUUAUUCCUCCAAAAACUCCACCAAGGUCUUCUCUCCAAACUUAACUUAAGAUUAAUCGAUAUGGAUUUGGGUUAGUGUUUGAAUUUUUCACAAAUCAAGCAAAAAAAUCAAGAUGGAAUUUUUCUCUCUUCCUCUCCUCUCUCUCUCGGCCAAGCUUGCAAGAAAAUGAAAUGGUUGGGUUCAAUGUAUACAAGAUAAAGACUAAGAAAGGCUUGGUCAAAGGGUCUUGGUCAAGACCUUGGAUAGAUUUUUUUUCCUCUUUGUUUUUCCCCCUAGCUCACAGUUCUCUCUCUCUCUCCUACUUUUAAGUUUGUUUUAUUUGGUUUUAAGACAUGAAAGAUGAAUUAAAUGAUAAGAAAGUUUUGGUCAAAAGUUCCACAAAUGUUCAACACUUGGCACCACCAAUUUUCUCUUGUUUUUGGUUUCUUUUCCUCUUGUUUUUAGGUCAAAUAUUUUGGCUGCUUUAAGGGUUAAUUGGGUGCUGAUUAGCUGAAAUAAAACCAAGAGGAUUAGGGCAAGAAAGUAGUGGUCAAGUGGGGUACUCAAUUGGUAGCAAACGGUGCACGUCGGUUCAAGCCUAUUUUUCUUAACUCACACGUACUUGUGUUUUUACUUAUGGUUCACUAGCUUAUUAUUAUCACUUCUAAUCAUACACUUUCUCUUAUUUGAAACUCACUCUUAAUCACCAAAUUUAGUACACACACCUCACCAAAUGAUCACACUACCAAAAUGCACAAAAAACACACCAAAAACCCUAGUAUGCACAAAAAAAGACCCUAGCUUAUGCCAUUCCUUUAGAAAAUCAUAACUUGAGUUAUAAAUGUCAAACAUUCAUACAACUUGGCCUUUUAAAAACUAGACUUCAAAUACUAAUAAUCGUUAGAAAACACCUCAAAGAAAUUCAGCUCAUAAAUUAGUCCAAAUUGAGUCAUAAGCUACUACAACAUUCCUAUGUUUACUUGUGCAGGGUAGAAUUUUCAGUCAACUUUGCCAAUUUUCUGAAAUUUAUAGAGAUUGAAUCAAACUCUGAAUUUUAUAUCGUAGGAAACUCUAUGAGUCUAGUUUCAAAUGCAACAAAUGGAACUCAAUUCCGACUUUCCUAUACCAAGUUAUAGUCAAUUUCCCAAAGCUGCGCAGAGCCUCCUGCAAAAAUUUCUAGAUUUUCUAACAACUUGAGAAUAUGAAACUUUUUUUAACAAAAUUCACUCUCUUGGCUCAAAUUCAACCAUUAAAGCAACCAAGAAUCAAAGGUAAGUGAGUUCACAUAAGAGUUAUAAAGACAAGUAAAAUUUCGAGAUCUCACAAUAUCACAUCAUAAUUAAUAGUAAUUAGAGUAUAUGGCAAAGGUAUUGUUGGAGAAAACCUAAAUCAUUAAAUUACCAAAUCAUAUUGGUGAUUCACUCAAUCUAUCUUUCUUCUUUGUCAUUUCUUUUUAUUUUUUUCCUUUUUCUUCGUUUCUCUACAGUUCGCUCCUACUUCUUCCAUGUAAAAUUAAUUUACAUAAAUUUUGUUUUCCCAUUCAUGUUUAGUUUAUAAAUUAUCCCGCUAAAUUUUUUUCUUGUUCUUCACUAAUUCUAGUAUCUAUUUUUUGAAACUCUAUUCAGGAUGGAGAUUUACAUCAGGAACUUUAUUUUCCAAAAUGAAAUUUAAAGGCUAGUAUUAUAUGAACAAUCGCAAAAAAUAGAAAAGGGCCUUGGGAACAUAAUGUAGUCAUUAAUGGGUCACUUAUGAAGGAAAUUAAACCAAGCUAUUUUAGUAUUUAGUUUCCUAAUUCUAUUUGGUAUCUUAUUUGUUUAGUUUCCAUAUUAGAUUAGGAAAUCUCAAGUUAGUUUCCAAAUAAGUUUUGGUUUACAAUUAUAUUUGUUUUAGGAAGUUUUAGAGUCUAUAAAUACUACUAGUCUAGUAGGUUAUUAGGCGAAGAAAAGUGAAGAGAAGUGAAGUGGAGAGUUGAGUUGAAUCUAGAGAUUAGACUUGAGAGCAAAUCUCAUAGUUGAGAUUUGUGAGUUGUCGUGAGCGAAAGCCUAUGACUUAAUAUUUGUUUUGAGUUAAAUAAAUUAUUGAGUGUUUGUUCUCCUCCUCUUCCCACAUAUUUUUUAUAUGUGUUAGAAUUGUUUCCGCUGUGUGCACGGGAAUUCUUCGUGCCAACAACUUAUUCUAUUAAUGCUAAUAUAGAAUUAGAUAGGUUUUAGCAAUAUCCACCCUUAGGUGUAUCCUUUGAAAUCAAUUAACAUCAUGGAAAAGAAAAUCAAAAUAUGAGUAUUAGGUUUUGAACUAAAUUCGGCUGUGUCUACGUUCUUUGUAUAACUAUCUUAUGUACUUGAAUAUGCAUCCACUGAUAUAGUGAUAUGCAACUUGUUUAAUGUAAUGUUAUGUAGUGAGACAUUGAAUUUAUAAAAGUUUCUAAUCAACUUGGCAAGAAUUUAUAUAAGUUUAAGAAAGCUAAUAUACAUGAAAUUAGUCAAGAUUUUUAAGAAUAUGGGCUAACUAAUGCCUGGUCAUUAAAUUUUAACGAAAAUUUUUUUCAAGCAAAUUAACUUAUAACCUAUAAUCUUUCCAAAUCAAUUUCUAUUCCAUAAGGGAUUCUACUUCUAAAACAAAACUUAAAAGUUGGUAGUACGUAAAAAGCUCCAAUAAUACGUGGAAUUGCAUUUAUGUUUGGAAACAGAGCAAAGUCGUUAAUAUUAGUAAUAAGGGCAUUUUAGGGAAGAAAAACUAAAUUACUAAAUUAUAUUGACGCUUUUUUUAAAAAAAAUUUUAGUAUAGAUGUGAGGGUUCAAAUUUAAAAUAUUUCACUUACACUCCCUUCCCACGACCAACCAACCCAUCCCCACCUAUCCCCACCCCUCAAGUGCUUUUGAUAUAUGUAGUAUAAAGAUAAAAUUUGUUUAGAAUACUAUCUAGACAAAUUGAUAAGCGAUCCCCUCCCUGUCCUCUCUCAAGAGGCUUAUAUCUACCCUUUCACCGGUUCUAGCUAUUCUUUCAUUUGAAACACUAGUCUAAACGCCCAUGCUAUACACAGUAGAUCAUAUUUUUGGAAGAAAAUAUAAUUGAGGGAGGAAUUUAAAAAGAGUAAGAAAUGUAUGUAAUUGUUCGUAUAAUUUAGGACACAUGAAAGUAUAGUUAAAAAAUGAGAUUUUGUAGCAAUAGUUCAAUAUAUGAUAAGAACAUCCCCAUUAGUUUAAAUGAGAUUUUGUAGCAAUAGUUCAAUAUAUGAUAAGAACAUCCCCAUUAUUUAUAAACUACCACAUUGAUGGAAUUGGAUCCUGAAAAAAAAGUAGAAAUCUAUAUCAUAAAUUGAGCGACAGAAGGGUUCAAUUAAAUGUAACUGAAUAUUUAAUUUGAUAAGUAAAUGAAAUACUUACAAAUAUUUAGCCUUCGAUUUGAUAAUCUUCUAUGAAGGUGAGAACAUUCUUCACACCAACCAACUCUGAGUACGAAUGCCAGUAUUGGGGGUUUAAUUCAUUCUGUUGAAUUUUGUGGAGUUCGUACUAUAAAUGAGAAUGCAUGAUUUUUACAUGAAUUAAUGUGUUGGUUGAACAAUAUACCUCUAUUUUUCUAACAAUUAAGAGCAUACGGAAUUCAAAAUUAUCAUUUGUUUUAGAAUGAUAUUGUAUAAGAUAUAUACGUAUAAGAUAAGAAGCAUUAGAACAAAAUAUGAAUCGUGCAUGCUUGUGUUGAACAACAAGGUAUAGGUUACCACUGGAAUCUCUAACUUGUAUGUUAACAUUGUAUCUGUUAAGAAGAAAUUGUGAUAUACAAUGAAAAAAUGUAAUUAAAAUUAAAGAUAAAUGAAAAUAAUUACCUGACAAUAGUGUCGACUACAUCAUUACAAUGGAUACACACCAUUUUUGAAAAAUGAGAUUGACAUGGUUGUUCACAAUUUUUGCAUAACUCAUGGAACAUAUCGUCUAUGUUAAUGCUUUGAAUGUAAGUAACUAUCCGAAAAUAUUUAACCUAAAGCCAUUCAAAAAACAUAUAGAUUACAAUUACUAAUUCAAAAUAAUAUGUAGAUAAAUGUUCAUUAAUUAAUUAAUUGAGAGAAUUUUUACCGUAGGUGUCAUUGCAAAAUGUUUCCUCCUUUGCAAUAUGGCGAGUUUGAAAUUUAGGGGUUGAUGAAAUGUUUAUAGGCGAGCAUGUUUCGUGGUGAAAUUAAGUUGAGGACUAAAAUCGAUACUAGAAGGAAGUUGAUAGAGAUCAAUACGAGAAGGAUGAUGAAAGAGAUGGUAAUUUGCGAUUUUUGGUGAAAUUAUGUUGUUAUCUCUUAUUAUUGGGUUGGAGGAGUUUUAAUCGGAGUGGAAUUGUUAAUUGGAAGAGUGUUAAUUGGAGUGGGAAGGUAUCUGAAGGUAGGGGUAUUAUAUAUCUAAUUUAUAUAGAUAUAGAUAGCCAAGUAGCACUUCCUCUCUUUAGCGAGAAACUGCCUGUCCAAUCUUUAUUCUCCUUGUCUAUAGACCUUCCUUGUAUAUGCAAUUAAUUCCUCGAUCCAUCAAUGUGCAAUAGGAAGCGAUACAAUAUAAUUUCAGUAGUAAUAUUCGGACGGUCGAAAGGGUUGCUCGAAAGCUUGAUGAACAAGCGCAAAAAGCCCAUAUAUUCUAUUUUCUAUUUUUUAAGAAUUUUUUCUUCUCUAGACUCGCGGUCAUCAUUGCCGUGUGCUAAUUAAAGAGUUAGGAUGUGUUUGAUAAGACUGAAGUUUAAAAACUGAAAUUUAAAAUUUAAAAUCUGAAAUCUAAAUCCAUUAAAUGAUUGAAUUAUUAAAUGUUACAUCAAAUACAUUUGAGUAUAUAUCACAUUCGGUGAUAAGUGAAUAGUUUAUUACUUAUUUUUUGGAGCAAAAUUUACCUAGAAAAUUCAAUACCACUUAAUUAAUUUAGAUGCUCAAUUUUUUAUUGUCAAACGUGGCUGAAUAUAAAGUCAUAUGACUUUGUUUGGAUAUCAAAUUUUUUUCAAAUAAUAUUUCGCCUACGUCAUAAACACAUUUCCCAACAUACCUUUUAAUAUUUUCAAUCAUUAUUUUAUUUCACAUGCAUCACAUCACAAAAAGUGCUACAGUAAUUAUUUCAAAUAAUAUGAUCUGAAUAUAUUAAAUUUAAAUACUAAAUCGAAUUAUCAAACAUGUCUCAUAGAAGGGAGUCCUUUCUCUGUACCUAUUCAGUAAAUUCCUAAAGCACUUACUUUAUAUUUAAUAAUGGGCCACUUCAGUAAACGACUUCCAGCUAAGGUAAGAAGCCUCGUGUCGCGGUUUCUCCACUUUAUUACGUUCUCAUGAACUGAACUUGGUUGACAUCCCUUGCACAAAGCGAAUAGACCCUGCUGUGGAUCAGUUUCGGUGCGGGAAAGCUGAAGAAAGACUAGAAGAAUGAUUCCUUUGGAUCGACGAGCUUUUUCAACCCGAAAGCUAGAUAUCAAUGCAAUGUCCAUCUGCUCAUCAAAACAUCGGAAAAAAAAAAAGUUUCAAUAGCCCUCUAACUAUUAGUCAAGUGAACUUUUGGUCCCCAAUAAUUAAAAGUCAACUUUUGACCCUCGAUUUAUCGAAAAAGUGUAAAAUGGAAACCAACGCCACUGAAAUGCAUGCCAAAAUACGAGAGGCAUUUUAGUUCUAGCUGUUAUCCACUCGAUAAAAAAGAGUAAAAUUCCUUUUUUUUUUUCCCGAAACGUUAGAAGAUUUUCAUUUAUUUGGAAUAAGAAAUUACAAGUACGAGCAACGGCUCGAAAAAACUGUACAACUAGUGCUCAUCUAGCACUGAGGAAAUUCCAUUCCUCAUCCACUAAAAUGCCAAAGGCAUGAGAACUUAAUUCUCUACUUCGUUUAAUACUUUCUUCAUUUGCCAAACUAAACAAGCACAUUCGAAACAACUUUUGCAUGCUCAGAAUGUCAUCUAUCAAGGUAGAUAGCCUACUGUUAGAGGGGCUGUUGUACUUUAUCUGUCUCAUAAGGUCCUGGCUUUGAAACUGGAUCGUGAUUCUACUCCACUGAUGCUCUAAAGCCUUGCACAAGACCAGAUGGAUAGCCACUGCUUCAUCUAUGACUUUGUCCCCCUUACUUCGCUCUUUGAGUGCCCAUUCCGCAAGCCUAGUACUUGGGUGCUUUAUCGCUGUGACUCCAAUCCCCAGUGAGACCUGGCCAUUCUGGCUUGUUGUAGCCACGUCCAGCCCUCUCCAUUAUAACCCUGAUAGUGCUCUUCCUGAAUGAAAGAUGUUUCAACAAGAGUAAAAUUCAGUUUGACUUAAUUAUUUCCUUUUACCAUUCUCUCUCCCUCCACCGCAAGUGGUUGGAAGCUCCUGCAAUUCGUGGACCAUCAUCACCAGUGCACAUCUCUUGAAACUUCCGGUGAAGAAUUAUAGGUACCCAACCGGAUCCUCUUUCCCAUAAAUGGGUCGCGAAUUUCUGCAACCCAUUUGCCUCAUUUCCUAUGCCUGACACCUUUGUAUUUGGUAGACGAAGGCUUUGAUUGAGGUUGACUCCACAGUUUAGCUAACUUCUUUUUCUUCGGGUUGUUUUUCUCCCUUUUGUUGCUCUUUUGACAGGGAUUUCAGCUUCUGGGCCAACAGCUACAAACUAACCAGGUUGACUUUUCAACUCCACAGUAGGGAGAAUAAUCUCCUUAAGAAACCUCUUAGGCUUCUUUCAAUCACCCUUUCAUUCGAUAUCGAUAGCAUUCGGGUUGUUACUAAAGAUCCGAAUCUUUCUCGUGGGUCUGAUGGGUUCAGCCAUGAUCGCUCUUUGAUUUUUCAGCAACAUUAGAUCGCUCUUUUAUUCUUCAGCAACAUUAAACUGUUAAUUUGGAAGAGAAAACAAAGAAGAAAAAGAAAAAGAAUCAAUUAUCUGCAACCACAUGGAACAAAAACACUUGAGUAGAAGCUCUUCAGCUGCCAUGGAGAUUUUCUUCCUAUAGCUUUUUGUUCGGAAAGAAAUUCCUUUUUACCAAAUAGAAAAUUACUGGAUAGACUAAAAUGGCCUUCAUAUUUUGGCAUGCGUUUCAUGUGGUGUUAAUUUCUGUCAAUUUUAAUGGCUGAACUUGACAGAAGUCUAACAUUUUGCACUUUCGAUAGAUCAAGAACCAAAGAUUUACUCUUAAUUGUUGGGGGACCAAAAAUUUACUCCAUUAAUAGUUAGAGGGCCAUUGGGACUUUUUCCCUAAAAAACAUCUAAUAUCUAGGAGUGUCAGUUUUAGGGGAUCUCUCUCUAUACCUACACAAGUUUGUUAUGGCCUAAUAACGUCGCCUAGUCGUAGCCACACAUUAGCUGCACUCAAUUUUGCAGGAUGGAAAUUUUGUUGGAUUAGAUCUUUGGUUAAUUUGGACCUAACAAUACGGACUCUAAGCCUUCAGGCAAACAAGUACGAGAGAGGCAAGCAAAACAGAAGUAGAAGCAUCUUGCUCAAUUGGUGUAGCUUAGAGUUAGAGAUCAGCAAGAGGUAAGGUAAGGAAAGUGGUUGUCAGACAGGAUUGGAAGCCGAAGCGGCCCAUUAAGCAUAAGCGUAGUAGCGUCACUAAGCAAGGGCAUGUCCCUUCACUGUCCUCAUUCAAAUUAAAUUUGGGAUUGAAUCUUGUGCAGUGAAACGAAGAAUGGUAAUUUACUAGUCUUUAGAAAAAAUUAGAUUCGAGUGACGUCCCAAGUCUUAGUAAAUCCGCUAAAUGUUGAUUCAACAUAAAUUCUACAUCUUGAAACCAAGUGAAUUUCGGAGCUACUUUAUGAUAAUGAGACCAAACAGUAAAAAAGCAUUAACGCUGCAAAGAUCAAUAUACCAAUUGCAUACCAUAGAGUUGUUAUCCACUAGUCAUUCCAAAUGCUCUUCAAGUCUGAAAAAAAUCGACAGUUUAGUGUAUUCUUCGAAAACCUGUCUAUAUCACCAUUCAGUAUUUCUUGGCCCACUGUUGGCUAAACCACCUGGGCAGCAGGCCUCAUGGUAGAGUUGGAGAGAGAAAAAGAACUCUAUUGUAGUUAUUGCAUGCAUCGGUGCCUUCCUUAAUCCUUGCUUCGACUUGAAUGAAGUCAUUUAUUUGGAGAAGGUGAAAAUUGGCUCUCAUUCUUUCUCAAGUGAACUAAGGCUUGGGAGGCCUAGGAAAUAUAGUUCAUCGUGGCAGGUCAUGGUCGCAGUUGUUUCAUACUCGUCGUAGCAUAUCGGUUGAAUAUCGGGUGAUACGCAUAUUAUAGCACAUAAAAUUUUUAAAAAAUCUGAAAAAUUAUUAAAAAUAAAAAAUACCAUAAAAGGAACAAUUUAAAAAAAUAUAUGAGUCGACUUCGAGUUAACUCAAAUAAACGAGUCGCUGCGGAUAUAAAAUUAUCUAUGAUUCACGGAUCGGUAUAAUAUCGAUUUCCCCGUUCCAAUUAUGACUUGGCCUGGUCGUACCGGGCUCGCCGAGAUAGCUAACCAUGCUGGGAGAUGAGCUUAAAGAAGUCACGAGGAAGUCCUUUGUUUUAAGACCUGAAGCAAAGCGGUCAAACCAGGUUUUUUUUUUUUUUUUUAGUGUGUCCCGCAGGGAGUGGACCCCGCAGACUAUUCACCACCCUCAACAACUUGUUGGCAGCAAGGUUCGAACCAGGGACCUGAAGCCCCAUCUUCAACACCCUCAACCACCAGACCAAGCCCCUGAGCGCGGUCAAACCAGGUUAGAACACACACAAGUUUUAAAAAAUAAUAAUAAUAAAGCAUUAAAUACGGUACUGGCGAUAGAAGUGGAACUGAUAGUAUGCAAUGGAGGUUGCCAGUGGUGGGUGGCUUGUGGUGGGGAGGGGUAAGGUAUAUUUUGGAAAAAAUAUGGUGUUUCAGACAAAUACUUUUCUAAGACAAUAACAAUGAUCUACUAUUAAUUUUUGACAAACACUCAAAAAACACAUCAUUCAAGUAGACCCCAACAUAUUUUGGACAUGAAUGAUCCUAAAACUUUUACAAAGUUGUAAAAAGUAGAUGGAAUGGUUACAAGUAUAUCACUUUUUACAAGUUUAAUAAUCAAUUUAAAGGAAAAAAAUAGUUGAGUAACUAGAAGUAUAUAUAGGAUCUAAGUAGUUGGGAUGAAUUACUUAUUAUACCCUUGUGGUUUUACAUAAUGUUAGAUCACCCCCCUAAGAUUUUAAAAUAGUCACAUAACCCUCUUGUAGUUUUAUGUAAUUAAGUGAAAAAUGAUCGAAACACAUAAUCAAUUGCAGUGUUUAUACUAAACGCGCUUUUAAAGCUCAUGAGAUAAAAUAUUAAUAUCCAUAUAACCCUUUUAUGGUUUGUAUAAAUAUCCACUUUACUUCUGUAUGAUUUUUGCAUUUAUCCACGUAAUCUUUUUAUGCUUUUAUACAAGGUGGUUAAACCGUUGAUUGAUUUAUUAUUUAAAUAAGAGCACUAUUAGUAUUUCAACUAAUGACAUUAUAUAGAUUAUUUUCUGUCAAAUUUCCAUUUUAUAUAAAAUCAUAAGGGGUGAAGUGGAUAUUUUGAAAUGUCAGGGAGUGCCAUGUGGCAAUAGAUGAAAUCAUAGGGGGGGUUAUAUGUAAUUUAUCCAAGUAGUAGAGUAGCCGAUAACGUUUUUUCACCCUAUUUUCUAUGUUCAUUUCCUAAGGGUUGUUCAUCUACCCCUAGAGGAAAAAAGGGCUGCCAAAAUCUUUCUUGGUGAGAUUAUCAAAAAAAAAAAAAAAACUUUCUUGAUGAGGAAACUAUUAUAUCAUAAGUUUAAACUCAAUGUAAAUAUAUGAUACUGUGUAAUCAAUUCGUGAAUUCAGACCGAAGCUAUGUAAAAGCUGCGACGAAUCAAGAAUAGCUUCAUCAUAUGGCAAAAAAUUGUCAUUUAAUCAACUUGAAACUUUGAAAGAUACAACUUAUAUCAAUUAUGAAAUGAAUCAUAAUCUGCCAUGAUUUGUAGAAAUAUCUUUACAGCUCCAUUUUUGAAGAUAUGCCAAUCAUUAUCCCUGAGCUGAGAGGAUUAUAGAAAUACAUCUAUACUAUGGCCAACACCAGCCAAAUCAGAAUUACACCUCUCCUAUCCAAGCAAAUUAGGCAACCAUUGUCAUAUCUACCAUAGUACAGAUGUCGGCAAUGGGCAUGCCCCAGAUUAGUGGAGAUGUCGAAUUUUAAUUUGCACUGAACAGCACAAAGCAUUUAGCCAUUUCUUGCUCCACUUGUUAUAAGAUUGUGCUUUUACUUAAAAUAACAAAAGCAGCUUGAAUUGCAACUUUUGAAGGGGAGCCUUCAUGAGUACAUUAUCUUUAGUAUAAAAGUCAUUGGAAUUGCACAAAUCUAACUCAGAUUAUGAAAAUUAUAUUGCAAAAGUGGGAAUCGCAUUUCAAAUCUAACUAUAUUUUAAACAAACACAAAAUAUAAAAAGAGGAGCUCACUGCACAAUACAAUUUAUAAUAUAAACUAAUAAUAUAUUAUCAUAAACUAAUAAUCAUUUAUUUAACCAUUUUUUUAUUAUAUAAACAUUUCAUAUAAUUUAUUGUUUAUAAGAUUUUUUUCUUUUUCAAUUUAUAAGUUAUAUUAAUGUUUAUUAAAUAUAAUAUAAUACUAUAUUAUGGUUUUGAGGACAAUUAAUUAAAGAAGAUGAAAAAUCAACAUUAAAAAAAAGAUUUGACCAACUAUGAAAUAAUUUGACAAAAGCAUCAAUAUUUUGAAUUGUUUGUACAAUAUCAAUAUUUCUAGCUACUUCUUUUAUUUUUUUUUCUUUUUCUCCACGACAAAAAAUUAUGGUAAUAGCCCUGAAAUUGUUUGAUUUUUAAUUAGAUAUAUGAACAAUUUUUAUUUUUCUUUUGGAAUUGGAUGACCUAAAUUUGCAUGGUAAGCAAAAAUUAAUUAUUUGCUAACCACUAGGGUUGGCCCAAUGGCCAGGAGAAGGCUCUUAGGGUUCUCUACAAUAUCAAAUUCAAGGUUCGAAUUCUAUGCUUAGGGAUGAAAAGGGUGUGGGGAUGAGGGAGGGCAAUAAAUUAAAAUAAAAUAAAAUAGAAAAUACUUGUUUGCAUAAAUAUCAGUUGCACACUCUACCAUUAUUAUUUUUCAUGUUACGUAAGUUGAAUUUGACAGAAUCUUGAUGAAAUUCCUCAAUAUGAAGUUAUAUGCACCAUUUUUUUUUAAAAAAAUGAUCAUGUACAUUCUUUGAAGUUGAAGUCUUUGUAUUACUUUGUGUGUUAUUUCUAUUCAAAAUGGAGUAUAAAUGAUCCAUCCAUUUAAAUUUUUCUAUCUAACUAUUCAUUUUUUGAGAAUUGGAAUUUUAUUGGUAGAGUUAAUUGAGUUUUUUUCUUUUAUUUUUUAGGCAGAAUCUAACAUAAACCACAAACAACAAUGAAUCUAUUAUCCUAAGAACACUUUGUUUUGGUAUCAAUAGCAAUAUUUUUGAAAUUUUGAAAAUUUAAUGAGGUUGUGAUUGAUCAAGAAUUUUUAAUGAAAAUAAAAAAAAAUAAAAGUAGAAUGCAAAGAGACACAUUGGUUUGGAGUGUUAUAUUUUGUUUAUUGUCUUCAUAAUUGAAAUUUAAUAAAGGUUACAGUUUUUUUUCUAACUACUAUAAUUAUUGCUAUUAUUAAAAUUCAAUAAAUCUAAUUAUUAGGGAGAAGGGUAUUUUGGACAAAUAGACAACUAAGACCAGAUCCUACUUAGGCCCUGUUUGAUACCCAAUUCAACACUUAAAUCUAAUGGAUUUAAAUCUUAACAUAUUCAGACUGUUUGAUAAUCAAAACUUGAACAUCUGAAUUAAUUAAGUGGCACUGAAUUUUCUAGGUAAAACUUGCUUCCAAAAUUAAGUAAUAAGCGAUUCACUUAUUACUGAAUGUAAUAUGCACUCAAAUAUAUUAAAUUUAAUACUUAACAAUUCAAUAAUUUAAUGGAUUCAGAUUUCAGAUCUCAGAUUGCACUUUCAGAUUUCAGUUUUAUCAAAUGCGCCCUUAGUCUCUAAUGCUAGCUUAUUGUCAUCAAAUUAUUAUUUUCUUCCAAAUCAACAGAUACGACAUAAUGAAUUUUAAUCAUCAUAAAAAAUAAAAAAGAUCAUAAUACGAGAUUUCAAUCAUCAAUUAACAAAGGCAUAAUUGGAAUAACAAAAAACUAAGAUUACUUACAGUUGCAUUUUUAUGACACCUUUACAAUUGAAAUAGUAGUACUCAACUGGAGAAAAUAAAAUUCAAAAAAUCAACCCAUUAUUAUCAUUACUAGCAACCCCUCAAGACAACAAAAACUGAAAGUUAUUCAUAAAAUGACACAAAGUGUAUAGCAAAUGAAUCAAAAAGAUGAGAAUACCAUUCCAAUGAUACUGUAGUGCAAGACAACAUUUUUACCGGCAGUGAUUGAAUAAUGCUACAUUUGUAUUGUUUUGUACAAACAAAGUCUAUCUAGCAAUACAACAAGCCAUGCAAAAGCCGCCUCCAACAGGCGAGGAAAAGGAGAAAAAAAAAAAGGUUAACAUAUAUAAUACUCUAAUUUGUUAACCACCUUUCCUAUCUUGUGCAUAGAAACUAAUUGUGCUCAAAUUAUGCUUAGUUUAGCAAGUACGAUAGAUCUGCAGUAUCAUUGUUGGUGCUUGCAGAAUUCUACUAGAAGGCAUUUGGUUGCAAUUCAAAGAGAAAAGGAAUCUACCGAUAUUCUAUAGCGAAUAGUCCAUGUACACAUCCAAGUCUAUGAAUAUAUUAAUAUUUUUUUCACAAGGCUUGAAGUAGUCAUAACACAAAAUGAGACAUAGGCAGUCUUGAAUUGUAAAGAUGUUGAUAACCACCUACCAGCACGCACAACAGACGAAAGUAGUACUACUACUACCAUAACUUGUAAAUAGUUGGAUGCGAAAUGAGUCCUACAUACUCCAGAGGACUAAAAAAGUUGCAGUAUUUUAACUAUGAUGAAUCUGCAAAUGAGAAGUUCAGGACAACUUCUGUAGCCAAAAUUUGAUUAUAUAAUAGUUGAUAAUUAUAAAUUGAUUAUAAUAAACUAAUAUUAGUUAUGAAUAAACUAUUGGAUAAUAUUUUUAUAAACUAAUAUAGUUUAUGAUAUUAGAAAAUAAAUAUUAUAACUAAUAUUAUAACAUAUUAUUAUCAUAAACUAAUAUUAUUUGAUAAACUAAUAUACAAUUUAUUAUAAACUAGUAUUAUCAUAAAUUGUAUGUAAUACUUUAUAAAUAGAAAAUAAACUAUUUAAUAAUAUUAUAAACAGUGUAAUAUUUUUGCUUUUAAUACAUUGCUUAUAACCAUAAAUUGUUUAUAUAAUCUUAGUUGAAUAUAUUAGUUGUGUGUUUAAUAUCUUAUAUGAACAGUUUAUUAUAUAGUUCUUAUUUUGUUUGUUUGUUUGUUUCAAUUAAACGUUAAUAUAAACGUUUUAUAAAUAGUGUUAAUAUAAACGUGUAUAAUAAUUUAUACUUAAUAUAUUUACCUUAUAUUGCAGUUUCAUUUUGAAAUAGGUCAAUAAAGUUACAAAAACUUGAAAAUAAGAACUACGGAAAUGUGUUUUCUUUUUAAAGUUUGGCGGUACCAAUUGAUAUUAUUAUAAAAUUGAGGGGAGGUUUCUGAAAUUCUCCCUUACAAUUAUGUGCAAACAAACCACUUAGUUUCUUGACGUGGCAUAUAUGUGAUGUUUGUGCACAUGUAGAAGUCUUCUCCAGUAACAAAACUAUCUUAUUCCAGUCCUCGUCCCAGUCAAUAACUUCUCCUUUUAAUCCCCUCCUCAACGCCGAUUUGCUGUUAGUUUUAGACCUGAUUCGUACAAAACAAACCCUGCAUUCGUACAAAACAAACCAUAAGAUUUCUCAUUUCCUUGUUUGGUGACCAAGCUUAAAACUUACGCAGGCAGUUGAUAUAAUAUUAGUUUUAGUGUAUUAUUAUAAGCCUUGGUGCAAUGGUUGAGUUUGAGUUGAAGUGGAAGUUUUGAUCAUUCAGGUAUUGAAGUGGAUUUUUAAUUUAAACAAUGGGUCGUUGUCCAUUUUGUGAUUACUUAUAGGCUUUUGUGUUUUUUUUGGGUCCCUUUUGUCUACAAGUUUAAAGAUUUGAUUACUCUCUUAUCUGCUUGUUUUUGCAGAGGAUAUUUAUGGCACACCCGUCAAACCACAGAGUGAGAAAUGGCGGAUUUUUGAGAUUCUUAUCGAUUCUUGUUGGCUUGAUAUUGGUUGUUUACGUCUGGAGACCGUCUCCAUCUUCUUCUGGACGGUCUCAUAAGCCUAAGAAGAAGUUUAAGGCUUUGGUUUCGUGUCCUGAAUGUUCUUGUGACUGCCCACAAUCGGAUUCAUUCACCCUGCCUUCAGGUUAGUUUUCUGAUUUUGCUUCUGCUUGAAUGAAUUUGGGGAUUGACUAGUUGAUCGCCUUUGUUCUUUCCUGUUUUCUCUAAUGUUCAUUAGUUAAAUAUGUCAAAAUGUAUUCUCUGCAUUGGUGCAUAUUGAGAAUUGAUUGUUAUUUGAAAUAUGUUUCGUUUUUACUCGUCACUAUUUGGAUGUGAAAUCACUGCGGCUGUUGGCUGUAUUCUUUGUUUCGUAGCAAGAUUAGAAUGCCAAGUUUCGGGUGAAUAAAUUGCCAUUUUUACCGGCAAAGAGAACCUGAGAAUAGGAUUAAUAGGUUUCGUAACCAGUGGGCUUAUCUUGAGUGAGAGGAUGCCAAGAUAAUGUUGGUGAAGGCAGUAAACUGAGAAUGAUAAGUCAGAUCCAUGUUGGGGAUUGCACUGACUUCUCCUAGGGAAGCUUCAUGAUCUAUGUUGAAGUUUUGAAGUGAAAGGCUUCCUCUUUGUAAUAUUUAGUUGUCUUGCUGUAAUAACUUUAGUAUUGAACUGCUGUGAUCCUUCUUUAAUUGAAUAUUUGCAGCUCCUUCUUUUGGUUCCUCUAUGCAUUCUUAUCUGUCCAUAAUGACUUCUCAUGUUCUUUUGUUUCAUCAAUUGCAGGUAUAUUUAACGUGUCAUCAUCAGGUAUGUUGAACCUUCCUCUUUGCUUAUCUUUAUGCUUCUUUCCCCUCAUUUGGCAACUGAGUUUUUUUGGGUGUUUGUCUGAAAUUUUACUGUAGAAGUUGUCGAAAAAAAUUUUGUAGUUAGUAAAUUUUUGGAUAUUUUGAAGUGUAUAAUUUAAAAACUUUGAGAAAUUUUUUAAAAUUACUAAUAGUUAAAGUUAUUAAAACACUUGUAGCAGACAAACUUGACCAAAAACUUGCUUGCCAAACAAGGGGAUUAAAAUUUUCUUGGUGCUCUAGCUAUAAGAAACUCAAAAAUCCUUGAUGAGGUUAUACAUCUUCCUGUUUUUCUUGAAGAACAAAAAUCCUUUAUACUUGAGUCUCAAUAGAAAAGAAGCAAACUGUAAAUUGAUAUGACAGAAGAAGAAUCUGAGAAGCGCAAUUUGUCAUUAUUUUCUGAAUCACAUUAUAACAAUUUCUGGAAAGACAGGCCUGUUAUAUCUCCAUGUCUUUACAAAAAUAGAACUAACCGGUAGUGGUAGUAGCAACCAAAUAUUGACUGUCAUGCCUCUCUCUCUCUCUGCAAUCUCCAUUGCAGAGAUACAGGCAAUGCUGUAGCUUAGACCAUAGUUGCAUUGAAAUGCAAUAUGAUUGGAAUCAACUUACGGGUUUUUUUAGUCUCUAACAGUAACAACUCAAACUUUUUUUUCCCGAACUAACCACUGGUUUGUUUUGAUUGCAGGUUGUACUAGUGAAGAUCCAGAGAUGAAUGAGGAAUUGAAGAAGGAUACCAUAACUUUACUUUCAGAGGAGAUUAGCUUACAGCAAAAUGUAACACGGGAUAUCUUGGACCAUGCUUUGGAAUUAACAAUGGAUGCAAAGCAAAUGGCAUCUUUUCACCGAAGAGAAGCACAGAAGUGCUAUGUACGUGUGGAUACAUGCGAGACUGCACGGGAAAGGGCUGAAGCAGCAUUACUGAAGGAGAGCAAAUUGACUCUGCUGUGGGAGGAACGAGCUCGGAACUUUGGGUGGAGAGAUUAGAAGACAGUAUAGUUACAAUCAACUCAUUAGAGCAUUUUUUUUUUGACUUACAUUAGAAAUUCAAUUGAUACGUUUAUGCACCAUUGCUUGUUAGAGAAACCUGUGAAUAUAGCUCAGUUCUUUCACAUUUUAGGAUUUGAUGUCCAGUGAACUUGAGAGUUAUACUGCUGCUAGAACGUAAUAUUCAUUAGCAUAUUCCUAGGUGCCUCCUGCUCUCUUUUCGUUGGGCAUAGUAACGAAUUUCAUUCAGGGCAGUAUGGAUUUUUUUUUUUUAAAUUGUAGAUGGAUUGUUUGGCUGAGUCUUUUGUUGCCUGCUCUAUCGAUGAUAAUCUGUCGGAAAGAAAGUGAAAGAAGGUAAAAGUAGGCUUCUGAUUAUAAGAGAUUACUUGCGGACUAUUCAACUGUGGUCCUUUAUUAUUCCUGCAAUGCACAUAUGGGUGCCAACGUGUCUGGUUUGGAUCUGGGUCCGACCCAGAUCCAAAUUCUGAUACCCAGACCUGUGUACCUGUAUCCGUUUACUCUAACAAAAAAAAUGGAUCGAAUACGAAAUAUAAGAUUUUGACCCGUAUCCGAUUUGGACUCGAACAAUAUAUUAAUAAUUAUAAAAUAUAAAUAUUUUUAAACACACUCUUUUACCAAAUUAACAAUUUAGUAAUGAUUUUGUAGAUUAAUUUGUGAUUAAUUUUAGAUUGACUUUUGCGAGUUAUUUGUGAUUUAGCUUUAUAAUUUGAUCUGUUUAAGUUUGGAGUAAAUUUAUGAUUGGUUUUGGUUUUAAUUUUGAAAUGUUUAAAUUUGAAUCUUUUUUUUUCGAGUGAAACCAACCCUGACUCGAGAUCCAUCGGAUUCGAUUUCGAAACUCUAAGGUCAAGACUCAUCAAAUAUAUGACUUGGGUCUGAAUCUACUACAUAAAAGCGGGUUCGGAUCCAAAAUUUUCAAUUCCGACCCGUUGACACCCCUAGAUGCACCAUUCAACAGAUGUAUUUUGUAAUCAUAUUACUGCACGUUUAACAUUUCAACCGCCCACCAUCAUGCAGAACACUACUCAAGUGUCAAAAAUUUUUUAAUCUUUACGAGUGUAAUAGUAGUAUCAUUAACAAUUAAAAAACUUGACACAUAGGCAAAACUUGACAUUGCAUAAAAAUUUUCAAUAUCUUCUCAUAGUUCUCUAAAAAGGGCCAAAAAAUUUAUAAAUGCUUCACACACACACACACACACACAAAAACAAAAUGAUUCCAAUUGUCACCAUCCACAAUUUUAAAGAAAAAAGGUAAACAAGUUAGUAUCCAUCAUACCAGAUUUCCCCCCUUUUCAGAGAUGAAGAAAAGGUUAGAAUCUUCACUGAAAAGUAAGGGACUUUUGUCUCAAACAAUCAGAGAGAAAGUGUGACACGCAGAAAGCAAGAUGGCCAUAAAGCUAAACAGAAUCUUCAUCUUUCUCCUUGCCUUCAUGUUUGAGUUAAAUCAACGAAAGCAAUACACCAGAACAUGCUAGUACAAUAUUAAAUCACUGGCAGCUGAAGUAUACCAAGAUCUCUCUAGAGGGUCGGACUUUAUUAGAUCGCAACUAUACAUGUUUGGUAAGUGAAGUUACGAUACGAAAAAUUGGGAAGAUCAUAAAUCAAACCAAAUAUAUGCUAUCCAAAACUGCAAAACC
rnacentral:lncRNA from 1 species